AUUGAACGCUGGCGGCAGGCUUAACACAUGCAAGUCGAGCGGAGAGAGGUAGCUUGCUACUGAUCUUAGCGGCGGACGGGUGAGUAAUGCUUAGGAAUCUGCCUAUUAGUGGGGGACAACAUUUCGAAAGGAAUGCUAAUACCGCAUACGUCCUACGGGAGAAAGCAGGGGAUCUUCGGACCUUGCGCUAAUAGAUGAGCCUAAGUCGGAUUAGCUAGUUGGUGGGGUAAAGGCCUACCAAGGCGACGAUCUGUAGCGGGUCUGAGAGGAUGAUCCGCCACACUGGGACUGAGACACGGCCCAGACUCCUACGGGAGGCAGCAGUGGGGAAUAUUGGACAAUGGGCGGAAGCCUGAUCCAGCUAUGCCGCGUGUGUGAAGAAGGCCUUAUGGUUGUAAAGCACUUUAAGCGAGGAGGAGGCUACUUUAGUUAAUACCUAGAGAUAGUGGACGUUACUCGCAGAAUAAGCACCGGCUAACUCUGUGCCAGCAGCCGCCGCGG
rnacentral:rRNA from 1 species